rnacentral:tRNA from 1 species
GGCAGUAUGGCCUAGUGGGUAGGGCCCUGGACUGGACUCAGAAUGCCCAGGUUCUAUCCCUGGCCUGCCA